AACGAACGCUGGCGGCAUGCCUAACACAUGCAAGUCGAACGAGACCUUCGGGUCUAGUGGCGCACGGGUGCGUAACGCGUGGGAACCUGCCCUUAGGUUCGGAAUAACUCCCCGAAAGGGGUGCUAAUACCGGAUAAUGUCUUCGGACCAAAGAUUUAUCGCCUUUGGAUGGGCCCGCGUUGGAUUAGCUAGUUGGUAGGGUAAAAGCCUACCAAGGCGACGAUCCAUAGCUGGUCUGAGAGGAUGAUCAGCCACACUGGGACUGAGACACGGCCCAGACUCCUACGGGAGGCAGCAGUGGGGAAUAUUGGACAAUGGGCGAAAGCCUGAUCCAGCAAUGCCGCGUGAGUGAUGAAGGCCUUAGGGUUGUAAAGCUCUUUUACCCGGGAUGAUAAUGACAGUACCGGGAGAAUAAGCUCCGGCCAACUCCGU
rnacentral:rRNA from 1 species